GACGAACGCUGGCGGCGUGCUUAACACAUGCAAGUCGAGCGGUAAGGCCCUUUCGGGGGUACACGAGCGGCGAACGGGUGAGUAACACGUGGGUGACCUGCCCUCAGCUCUGGGAUAAGCCUGGGAAACUGGGUCUAAUACUGGAUAUGACUCCACGGUGCAUGUCGUGGGGUGGAAAGCCUUGUGCGGCUGAGGAUGGGCCCGCGGCCUAUCAGCUUGUUGGUGGGGUGAGGCCUACCAAGGCGACGACGGGUAGCCGGCCUGAGAGGGCGACCGGCCACACUGGGACUGAGAUACGGCCCAGACUCCUACGGGAGGCAGCAGUGGGGAAUAUUGUGCAAUGGGCGGAAGCCUGACGCAGCGACGCCGCGUGGGGA
rnacentral:rRNA from 1 species